AGAAUCAACGCUGGCGGCGUGCCUCAGACAUGCAAGUCGAACGCGAAAUUUCCCUUCGGGGAGAAAGUAGAGUGGCGUCCGGGUGAGUAACACGUGAGUAAUUUGCCUUCGGGUGGGGAAUAACAGCCGGAAACGGCUGCUAAUACCGCAUGAUGCAGCGGCACCUCAUGGUGACAGUUGUUAAAGCGGGGGAUCGCAAGACCUCGCGCCUGAAGAGAAGCUCGCGGCAGAUAGCUAGUGGUAGGACGCUACAAGGCUAGAUCUGUA
rnacentral:rRNA from 1 species